rnacentral:rRNA from 1 species
GAUGAACGCUGGCGGCGUGCCUAAUACAUGCAAGUCGAGCGAACAGACGAGGAGCUUGCUCCUCUGACGUUAGCGGCGGACGGGUGAGUAACACGUGGAUAACCUACCUACAAGACUGGGAUAACUUCGGGAAACCGGAGCUAAUACCGGAUAAUAUAUUGAACCGCAUGGUUCAAUAGUGAAAGACGGUUUUGCUGUCACUUAUAGAUGGAUCCGCGCCGCAUUAGCUAGUUGGUAAGGUAACGGCUUACCAAGGCAACGAUGCGUAGCCGACCUGAGAGGGUGAUCGGCCACACUGGAACUGAGACACGGUCCAGACUCCUACGGGAGGCAGCAGUAGGGAAUCUUCCGCAAAGGGCGAAAGCCUGACGGAGCAACGCCGCGUGAGUGAUGAAGGUCUUCGGAUCGUAAAACUCUGUUAUUAGGGAAGAACAAAUGUGUAAGUAACUAUGCACGUCUUGACGGUACCUAAUCAGAAAGCCACGGCUAACUACGUG